rnacentral:rRNA from 1 species
AACAUGUCUUUAUGAUAAUAAUUUAAAGUCAAAUCUGCUCAAUGAUGUAAUAAUUAAAUAGCUGCAGUAUAUUGACUGUACAAAGGUAGCAUAAUCAAUAGUUUUAUAAUUUAAAGCUGGAAUGAAUGAUUUGAUAAGGUAAAUAUUGUCUCAAUUUUAAUAAAAUUAGAAUUUUUAUUUUAGUAAAAAUACUGAAAUAAUUUUUAAAGACGAGAAGACCCUAUAGAUUUUUAUAUUUUAAAUUAAAUUGAUUUAAAAUAAUUAAUAAAUUUUAAUUAAGAAGUAUUUGGUUGGGGAAAUUAUUAAAUUAAUUAAAUUUUAAUUAGGAAAAUACAAAAAUUAUUGGGUAAAUGAAUUUGUAAUUAUGAAUUUUUAGAAUAAAAUACCUUAGGGAUAACAGCGUAAUUUUUUUGGAGAGAUCAUAUUAAUAAAAAAGUUUGCGACCUCGAUGUUGAAUUAAGAUAAAAUUUUAAUGAAGAAGUUAAAAAUUUUUGGUCUGUUCGACCAUUAAAAUCUUACGUGAUC